CAAUAGCGUAUAUUAACGUUGUUGCAGUUAAAAAGCUCGUAGUUGGAUUUGGAGGGAGCGUCGGCCCGUAUUUACGAGUGCGUGACGUCUCUGUCCAUCCUUGCGGGAAGGCACGGCAUUGAUUUGUUGUGUCGGAUCGCAUCAUUUACUGUGAAAAAAUUAGAGUGUUCAAAGCAGGCUUUCGCUUGAAUACAUUAGCAUGGAAUAAUAAGAUAGGACUUUGGUGCUAUUUUGUUGGUUGAGCCUAAAGUAAUGAUUAAUAGGGAUAGUUGGGGGCACCUGUAUUGCGUUGUCAGAGGUGAAAUUCUUGGAUUUACGCAAGACAAACAGCUGCGAAAGCGUCUGCCAAGGAUGUUUUCAUUAA
rnacentral:rRNA from 1 species